UUACCACAACUUCGUUGUCUACGCCGUUAUCAAAGAUGAAAGAGUAGGCAUCUUUGGCCUACACGAGCCCAUCCCAGGCAUAAUCCUGCAAAGAAUGAAUAAAUUGCGAGAGAGCGACCAACUAUUUGGUACGUUGUUGCAAGCCGCCAAUCAAAUAUUGGCGAGAAUAGAAAAAUUCACCUCGACAAUAAGAGGCAAAUCCGCCAACCGAGAGUACCAUACGGCAACGUUGAACACAUCUUUUUCGGGAUGCAACGGAUUAAGGCAGGUGGCGAGCAACAAGUGCCGCCAAUGGCUGUACGAUCCACCGCCAUUUUGGUCGGGAGAAAAGCUGCCCAAUCACGCUUUAAUCUUCUGCCAUGCAAAGGGAUACCAUCAAAUCCGGUUGCAGAAAGUCGCUGCCGAGGAGAACGUUGCGGGAGGCAAGAAGCAGUCUGACAUAUACACGCCUGCAAUAUUACCCACGUAGAUCGGACCAACCGGCAACAUUUCCAUUACGCUAAGAUUAACCAUUACAGCUCUGAAGCGUUCAUAGGGAAAUUGAGACAGCUCUACCUAGGGAAAGCAAUAAAUGUGCUGCCCUACAUAACGGGAGCAAGAGGAGCUUGGUGCAGGCAAACCAACAGACUGGCCAAUCUCCUAUAUAUUACGCAGGCGAAGAUAAGAACAAUUGUUGCUUGCGCGCUAAAGGGUGGAAUAAUCGCGCAAUCGCACUUCACGAAGCAUGUGUGGAAGUGGCAGAAUUAUUAACCUGAUUAAUAAUCUGAUUAAUAAUUUAAAAUUGGGUCGGUAGUAUCCCAUUAUUGUUCAGCUAUUUACUGUACAUUUAUUAUAUAAUAUUGUUAUGUUACUUUAUAUUGUAGAAUAGUAAACACAUUGUACUAUAAUUUUUUGUAUAAUUAAGUAGUUGAACGAUAAAGAUGAUUUUAAUAGCCAAAUGCCUCGUCAUCUAAUUAGUGACUUGCGUGAAUGGAUUAACGAGAUUCUUUCUGUCCCUAUUUACUAUCUAGCAAAACCACACCCAAGGGAACGGGUUUGAGAAAAUUAGCACGGAAAGAAGACCCUGUUGAGUUUGACUCUAAUCUGGCAGUGUAAGGAGACAUAAGAGGUGUAGAAUAAGUGGGAGAUAUUGUUCUUUCGAGUUCAUUAUCGCCAAUGAAACACUACUCUUAUUGUUUCUCUAUUUACUUGAUUAAGUGGAACGUGUAUCACUAGCCAUUAUACGGAUGUAUUUAUAUAUCUUAUGGUAAUGGGUUCUGAUGCACUAAAGAGUUUGUUAUAUAAUUUUAAAUAAAUUUUAAUAAGAUUGUUUGGCAUUUCGGUGCUUAUUCAAUAAAAAUUUAGAAUUUGCCAGGUAGGAAGUUUGACUGGGGCGAUACAUCUCUCAAAUAAUAACGGAGGUGUCCCAAGUCCAGCCCAGUUCGUACAGAAACCACCAAUAGAGCAAAAGGGAAAAAGCUGACUUGAUCUCGGUAUUCAGUACACACAGGGACAGCAAAAGCGCGGCUCAUCGAUCCUUUUGGUUUAAGGAGUUUUUAAUGAGAGGUGUCAGAAAAGUUACCAUAGGGAUGCCCGGCUUGUGGCGGCCAAGCGUUCAUAGCGUCGUCGCUUUUUGAUCCUUUGAUGUCGGCUCUUCCGUCGUGAGACAGAUUAGUUUUACCCUGCUAAUGACAAUAUGUUGUUGCGACAGCAUUCCUGCGUAGUACGAGAGGAACCAAUGGCACAAUACUUAUUCGAGCGAACAGUGAUAUGACGCUACGUCCGUUGGAUUAUGCCUGAAC
rnacentral:rRNA from 1 species